rnacentral:lncRNA from 1 species
AUUUAUUUGCUAUUAUGUUAUAAAUAAAUAUUAGGGUAUACUUCAAAUACCACCUCUGCAGUUUCGUACUUUCUCACUUUAGUACCCUGUGAUUUAAAGUGCACCAAGUUAGUGUCCUGUGGUUUCAUUUUUAUUUUUUUGUCAGCUUCUCCGUUAAUAUUUCAUUAAAUUAUAUACAAAAACUUCAGAUACUCCACUUAGAUUUAUCAAAUAUUUACUUUACUACCCUUCAGUUUUAACUUUGUCGCUGAUUUAACAAAAAAAAAUUAGUGGAAUCGAUAAUAAAAAGAUAAAAAUAAAACCACACGGUACUAGAUUGGUACACUUUAAACUAGGGUACUAGAGUGGGAAAGUGUGAAACCACGGGGGUGGUAUUUGAAGUUUAUCCUAAAUAUAAUUAUAUAGCUAAUUUUAUUCUUUGAAUUUUUUUAUUAGCAUUUAACUGUUGUAAUUAGAUCUACAAUAAGGCGUUGUUUGAUCGGACGCAAUUAGAAAUACAGUGUAGUUGGAGAUGUAUAAAGUUGUAAUACAUAUAUCUCGU